rnacentral:hammerhead_ribozyme from 1 species
ACAUUUCUGAGGAGUCCCAGAACAGGACGAAAUGGCCAUUCAGUGC